GAGUUUGAUCCUGGCUCAGAACGAACGCUGGCGGCGUGCCUAACACAUGCAAGUCGUACGAGAAACACGUCCUUCGGGGCGUGGAGUAAAGUGGCGCACGGGUGAGUAACACGUGGGUAACCUGCCCUUGGAACCGGGAUAACUGGCCGAAAGGCCCGCUAAUACCGGAUAAGACUUCAUGAGCUUCGGCUCAUGCGGCCAAAGUCGGCCUCUCGAAGAAGCCGGCGCCUGAGGAUGGGCCCGCGGACCAUUAGCUAGUUGGUGAGGUAACGGCUCACCAAGGCCGAGAUGGUUAGCUGGUCUGAGAGGAUAAUCAGCCACACUGGAACUGAGAUACGGUCCAGACUCCUACGGGAGGCAGCAGUGAGGAAUAUUGCGCAAUGGAGGCAACUCUGACGCAGCAACGCCGCGUGGGUGAAGAAGGCUUUCGGGUUGUAAAGCCCUGUCAGGUGGGAAGAAACCUCAUCUAGUGAAUAACUAGAGGAACUGACGGUACCACCAAAGGAAACACCGGCUAACUCCGUGCCAGCAGCCGCGGUAAGACGGAGGGUGCAAGCGUUGUUCGGAAUCACUGGGCGUAAAGCGCGUGUAG
rnacentral:rRNA from 1 species